rnacentral:rRNA from 1 species
CGGCGGACGGGUGAGUAACGCGUGGGUAACCUGCCUCAUACAGGGGGAUAACAGUUAGAAAUGACUGCUAAUACCGCAUAAGCGCACGGGACUGCAUGGUCCAGUGUGAAAAACCGAGGUGGUAUGAGAUGGACCCGCGUCUGAUUAGCUGGUUGGCGGGGUAACGGCCCACCAAGGCGACGAUCAGUAGCCGACCUGAGAGGGUGGCCGGCCACAUUGGGACUGAGACACGGCCCAAACUCCUACGGAAGGCAGCAG